rnacentral:tRNA from 1 species
GCGAGCGUGGCGGAAUUGGUAGACGCGCUGGAUUUAGGUUCCAGUAGGGCAACCUGUGGGAGUUCGAGUCUCCCCGCUCGUACCA